GGCCACUUAGCUCAGUUGGUUAGAGCGUUCGCUUCACAUUGAUGAUCGCGAGAGGUCGACGGUUCGAACCCGCCAGAGGUCA
rfam:Trichosporon asahii var. asahii CBS 8904 unplaced genomic scaffold scaffold00190, whole genome shotgun sequence.